CAAGAUGAUGGGGGAAAGGGUCAGAAAAGUACUAGUGAGGAAUUGGAAGAUUAUGCCGAUUCAGAUUCUGGCAACGAUCGGGGAGAAGAUGGGGGAGAAGAUCAGGAAGACGAGCCUAUUGUUAGUAGGGAUAUAAAUGAGGGAUCUCAACUUGCUUGCAACACCCAGUCGCUAGACAUUGAUAUCACCGGCUUUACUGCAACACAAAGAGAUGGUACACAAGAAGUUGACAUCACCGGGCUGCAGAGUCAACAAAAUGAUGAUGAAAUACAAGUUCAAAGCAAGGAGAAAGGUAUCCCUCAAGGCAAAGAAGA